ensembl:snoRNA
AAGCCAGCCAAUUAGUCUGCUUAUCUGAAUUUGUUUCUGCAGAAAUUUAGAAACAGCUGGCAACAAUGCUGCCACCUUAUGAGCCUGAAGGACAACUGAGGCCAUUAAGAUCCCUCAAAAUGGUAACCAUA